GCCCAUUCCAGAGGCGAGAGUCAUAAUAACUAAAAGACGCCUCACCGUCAGUGUGUGUCCUGACUUUAGGAAUGACAAGGAGACGGCUGCCAGAGGAGCGCAGAGACCGCGAGGGUUCCUAUGGUACACGCAGUUGUGAGAGAUAAGACGGGCCAAAACCAUUAAGACACUUAAAAACCAUUAAAAGUAUCUUUGGCUUUUACUUCCAUAAAUGUGUAAAACUGACAAUAAAUUAGGUAUUUUUGUAUAUAUUUUUUUCUCUCCACAGAUCCCACUGAAAUAUAAUGACUAGAUGCCCUCUGCCUGGUCCUUCUAGUUGUCACUGAAAGGGGGUCCGGUCCUUUCUACUGUGCUUAUCACAGGUCAAACUGCUACCAAGGUCAGCUGUCCAGGCCUGCAGCCCUUGAUGUAGAGGUUUUGACCCAACAUGGCCACCUCUGACUCUCCAGAGAGAUUAGCAGCAAGGCGGGGACAGAGAAGCUGAGCUCCAUGUGGCUUCAUGUUAUCCCAGCCACUCUCCCUCCUCAUCCUGUCUCACACAACUCCUCACAUCUAUAGACCAGGGACCAGGAAGAGCUGCAAAUUGAAACUGUCUGGCAGGCAGAUCUGUGAAGACUCAUGGGGGAUGUUUGUAAGAGAACGCUAAGUAUUUCUCCUCCCUCUGUGCUCUGUUGGACAGGUCUGAGGCGUGGCUGCUGUGGAAGUCAAAAGGUUAAACAAAGUGCUGUGCCUGUCAGGCUGAGUGAAACCAACUGGCGCAGGGCUAUCAGAAUAUAAUGAAGGCUAAUAGGUACAUAAUGGCUAACAGUGGGGCUGCACUUGUUGGCAGAUGCAUCAUGGGGGACGGAGAGCAGACACUGUGACUGAACAUUCCCACCGCUGUCCUCGCUGCUUUAGACUUAUCAGUCAAGCCACAGAGAGGGGAUUGUAACCUUCUGUUUGUUCUGAGAUUAUUCACAAUGCAAAAUUAUUUUAUGAAAUACACCCAAAGUGUUCAUCAGCUGCAAUGAAACAAGAGUAGAACACCAGUGGGAACCAGCAAACUAUAAUAUCAGGAGAGGAAAAACAUCUACAGUCUUAAUCUGCACAUUUAAAACCACAGUGGAGUUAUUGUACUUUUUUUUUAUUAAACUUUGAUUCAACCACUUGUUGACUGCACAUUUAUCCAUGAAUAAAAAGCUCCCAGCAUCUGUGGCAUUUUGACCUCCUCAGUGAAGAGUUAACAUACUCCAAAUUGAUGCAAUUGAGCAGAAAAGGUCACAGGAUCACAUGUUAACGAAUGUACACAGUACUGGUUCUUAGAGCUCUGCUAAGUAUCUUGCCAACACUUCCCCUCUGACAGUGCUCCCCUUGCCCUGUACUCCUCACCAAAGCCCUCCUCUGUAAAUAAAGCCUGCUUUUGUUGAGGUCCGUUGCAUCAGAACCAUCAUCUCCAGAGGGUGAGAGAGAUAGAGGAGCGAUGUAGGGGUGAGUGGAGAGCCUAAGAAGGAGAGAGAGACAGAGAGAGAGAGAGAGAGAGAGAGAGAGAGAGAGAGAGAGAGAGAGAGAGAGAGAGAGAGAGAGAGAGAGAGAGAAAGUGUUUAGGUGGGGGUGAAGGACAAGGGAACUGACAGAGAUCUGGGUAAUUGCAGCACAAUGGAGAUUGUGUUUGAUCUCUGAGGUGUCCAGACCUAUUUAGAGGGGGUGAAUGUGCCAGGGAGAGGAAUGUUGUAGCGCUGAAAGGCUGAGUUUAUCAAGAGUUCAGCAAGUGAGAAGAGGGGAGGAGACAAAGAGUGUGUGUGCGUGUGUGUGCGUGUGUGUGUGUGUGUGUGUGUGUGUGUGUGUGUGUGUGUGUGUGUGUGUGUGUGUGUGUGUGUGUGUGUGUGUGUGUGUGUGUGUGUGUGUGUGUGGA